CCUACGGGCUGCAGCAGUGGGGAAUAUUGGACAAUGGGCGAAAGCCUGAUCCAGCCAUGCCGCGUGUGGGAAGAAGGCCUUCGGGUUGUAAAGCACUUUCAGUGGGGAAGAAAGCCUUGGGGCUAAUACCCUCGAGGAAGGACAUCACCCACAGAAGAAGCACCGGCUAACUCCGUGCCAGCAGCCGCGGUAAUACGGAGGGUGCGAGCGUUAAUCGGAAUUACUGGGCGUAAAGCGCGCGUAGGCGGUCUGAUAAGCCGGUUGUGAAAGCCCCGGGCUCAACCUGGGAACGGCAUCCGGAACUGUCAGGCUAGAGUGCAGGAGAGGAAGGUAGAAUUCCCGGUGUAGCGGUGAAAUGCGUAGAGAUCGGGAGGAAUACCAGUGGCGAAGGCGGCCCUCUGGACUGACACUGACGCUGAGGUGCGAAAGCGUGGGUAGCAAACAGGAUUAGAUACCCUGGUAGUC
rnacentral:rRNA from 1 species